GCUUCUGCCUCUGGCUCUGGCCCGCAGUCGAGGUUCACGCCGAACAGCCUGAGCCGGCGUGUGGGUGCCGAGGCUGGGCUGCAGCUCCUGGUGUCUGCGUCCCACUGGGAUUCUCCUGCGAUUGUUCAUUCACCAGAAAUGGCGUUAGAGCGUUCAUGGUGAUGGUGCUUCAAGUUCCCAAACGCCAGGAUGAGAACUGGACCUGCACAGAGAUCGUGCACCCUUCUCCAGUUCCCAACGGAUUGUGAACUCAGAAUCAAAAGUUGGGUGUGCAGUAAUGGACUAGUUUGACAUAGACAGUUAAUGUUCGUCCUGUCGACUGCAUGUCUAGACUUUGGGCAAGAAUCAAGAACGAACUGCAA